rnacentral:rRNA from 1 species
GACGAACGCUGGCGGCGUGCUUAACACAUGCAAGUCGAACGGAAAGGCCCUGCUUUUGAGGCGAGCUCCAAUGGCGAAAGGAAGACUAACACGAGAUUCACCGGCCCUUGACAUUGGCAUGACUUCCUGAAACUGGUGCUAAAAACGAACACCAACUCCUGCUGGAUGGGGGGAAUUAUAAAUCUUUCGGCGGAUGGGGAUGGACUCUACCCUUAUGAUCUUGUUGGAAGGGUCAAGGCUUACCACGACUUUGACCCGAACUCGGCCUGAGACGGUGACCGGUGCACAUUGAGACUGAGAUACGACCCCUACUCCUAGCGGAGGCGGCAAAUGUGGAAUAUUGCACAAAGGGCUGAAGCCUGAUCCCCCACCGACGCGAUGACGGACGACGGCCUUCAGGUCGCAUACCGCUUUCACCAGUCACAAAUCACGAGUGACGCUAAUGAGUAAACAACUACCUGCUAACUACCUGCCACCAUCCUCCGUGAUACGUAAGGUGCGAGCGUAGUCACGAUUUAUUGAGAGUUCAGAGGUCGUAUGUGGCUGAUAUCGUCAGAACCGUCAUCUCGACUGCUUAGCCCGGAGCGUGCUUUCGAUACGGGCAGACUUGAGUACUGCAGGGGAGACUGGAAUUCCUGGUGGAACGGUGAAAUGCGCAGAUAUCAGGAGGAACACCGGUGGCGAAGGCGGGUCUCUGGGCAGUAACUGACGCUGAGGAACGAAAGCGUGGGUAGCGAACAGGAUUAGAUACCCUGGUAGUCCACGCCGUAAACGGUGGGCGCUAGGUGUGGGUUCCUUCCACGGAAUCCGUGCCGUAGCUAACGCAUUAAGCGCCCCGCCUGGGGAGUACGGCCGCAAGGCUAAAACUCAAAGGAAUUGACGGGGGCCCGCACAAGCGGCGGAGCAUGUGGAUUAAUUCGAUGCAACGCGAAGAACCUCUACCUGGGUUUGACAUAUACCGCAAAGCUGCACAGAUGUGGCCCCCCUUGGGGUCGGUUCACAGGUGGUGCAUGGCUGUCGUCAGCUCGUGUCGUGAGAUGUUGGGUUAAGUCCCGCAACGAGCGCAACCCCUAUCUUAUGUUGCCAGCACGUUAUGGUGGGGACUCGUAAGAGACCGCCGGGGUCAACUCGGAGGAAGGUGGGGAUGACGUCAAGUCAUCAUGCCCCUUAUGUCCAGGGCUUCACGCAUGCUACAAUGGCCGGUACAGAGAGUGGCGAGCCCGUGAGGGGGAGCGAAUCUCGGAAAGCCGGUCUCAGUUCGGAUCGGGGUCUGCAACUCGACCUCAUGAAGUCGGAGUCGCUAGUAAUCGCAGAUCAGCAACGCUGCGGUGAAUACGUUCCCGGGCCU